UACAGAGGCCCCGAGCGUUGUCCGAAGUUAUUGGGCGUAAAGCGUCCGCAGGCGGAUGUGCGCGUUUGCUGUUAAAUCACGAGGCUCAACCUCGGUGGCGUUGCAGUGAAUACGGCACAUCUUGAGGCAGGGAGAGGUGAACGGAACUUCCGGUGGAGCAGUGAAAUGCGUUGAUAUCGGAGGGAACACCAAUUGCGAAGGCAGUUCACUGGUCCUGUCCUGACGCUCAUGGACGACAGCGUGGGGAGCGAAGCGG
rnacentral:misc_RNA from 1 species